rnacentral:lncRNA from 1 species
UGAAAAACAUUUUCUAUUCAAAUUCUUUAAUGAAUUGGAUAUGAAUCGGGCAAUUACAGGCGCUCCUUGGACUUUCAAUAAUCAUCUGUUGAUCUUCCAUAGGAUUCAAGAGAACGAAGAUCCGAUGUUUAUUCCAUUGGUGUACUCAGAUUGGUGGGUUCAGAUUCAUAAUUUGCCACCAAGGUUUUCCAGAGAUUCAAUGGCGGUGCAAUUUGGAAAUUUCAUUGGCAAGUAUCUUGAAUAUGAUAUGAAGCAGUUAUCCAACGGCUACAGAAAUUAUCUAUACGUCCGAGUCUAGGUUAAUGUUCAAAAGCCUCUGAAAAGAAAGAAAAUUAUGAUCUCCGAUUCAAAUUUUACUUAUGCAAAGUUCAAAUAUGAAAAAGUAACUUUAUUUUGUUUCUUAUGUGGCUGCUUAGGCCAUGGUAACAAUUUUUGUCCGGUGAGAUUACAACAUGGGAUGCAGGAAAUGGAAAUAGGUUGGGAUUUGACGUUUAGGGCUCAGCCGCGGAAGGCUACUACAGUAAACAAUAUCUGGCUAAGGGGGGAGAGAGAAUUUUUUUUUUGGAAAGACACAAUUUAGGUAGCAACCUAGCCAAAAUUCAAGGCAAAAUCAAGGGAGAGAAUCAUGGGCUAAUAUUAAUCCAAUUCUUGGAAUUAAUUUGGAAUAUGCCAAAUUUACAAAUGUUUUGAGUGGUCAACAAAAGAGAUAGGAAUCACACUAGAAUGUUGGGAAAGAAUUGGUGGUAAGUAAAAGUCUACAGAUGGGGAUUAGUUCGAAUGGUGAUGAAUGGCCCUUCUAACAGACUAGAUUUGAUGAUCAUAGACCGUGACUUAGAAGAUAAUCUAAUUGUCAAUGAGGAAGGGAAAAAGAGACAGGUUUGAUUCUUUAAUCUCUAACGUCUCUAUUGUUUAGGAUUCGUUAGAGAUUAUUGAUGGACUGUGACUUAGAAGAUAAUCUAACGUCUCUAUUCUUUAAUAUCAGCGGCUACCAGUGGGUAUGUCGACUGAAAGAAAUGAAAAUAUUUUGUUGGAAUGUUCAUAGCUUGAGGAGUCCGCGAGCAGCAAGAAGACUUCAGUGUAUGCUGAAAAUUUAUUAUCCCCAAAUUGUCUUCUUUAUGGAGACAAAAUUGAAUGCAAAUAGAAUGGAGAAUGUUAGGAGACAGUGUGGUUUUUUUAAUGGUGUUGACGUUCUUGCUGAUGGUACACGUGAGGGUUUGAGUAUAGGAUGGAAUGGGGGACAUUUAGUUACUCUUAGAAGCCUCUUAAAAAAUCAUAUUAAUGUCGAAAUUCAAGAAGUAAAGGAAAGCCCACGAUGGAGAUUUACGUGUUUUUAUGAGGCACUGGAUGUUAGGGAUAAAUUAGUGACGUGAGAUUUACUUCGACGUUUGGGGAGAAAUAAUAUGCUAUCAUGGCUAGUUGGUGGUGACUGCAAUGAAAUUCUCUUUGCGUAUAAAAAACAGGGAGGGUUGUUAAGGGAGGAGGCUUGAAUGGAGGUAUUUCGUAGAACGUUGGAGGAAUGUCAAUUUGGAGACAUUGGAUUUUCUGGGGCGUGGUUUACAUGGGAGAUGGGACACGUAAUAGAAAAAAAUAUAAGAGAGAAUCUGCCUUAUUCUUUCUUGGAUCAUUGUCCAUUGCUUAUUGAGAUGGAGGCUGAAAGAAUGGGUAAAAGACCUGGAAGGUUCCGCUUUGAAGCUUUGUGGGUUUUAUAAGAGUUAUGUGAGGAAGAGAUAAGAAAAUUAUGGGAAGAAAGCUCGGGUUCUUUUCAAAAUCACAUUUCAACUCUUACUAUUGGGUUGAAAAAUUAGACGGGUAAGAUUAAGCACAAAAGAGGACGAGAUGUGAAACGAUUAACAAGAAGACUUAAAGAGUUGAAUAGUUAUGAGAGAUCAGAAGAGACUUUGGCUGAGCUUGUUGAUGUCAAACUACAUCUAAAUAUGGAGAUGGAUAAAGAGGAGAGAUAUUGGGAACAAUGGGCGAGAGUGAAUUGGUUGAAAAUGAGAAAUAAGAACACUUUGUUUUUCCAUAAGUAUGCUUCUCAACGACGACGUAUUAAUCAUAUUUGAGGAUUACAAAGGAAUGAUGGUUCUAUAGCUACGGGUUGUAUUGAGACUAGGAAUAUUGCUCGUGACUAUUUUACAGACUUAUUUUCUUCUAGAGGGAUUGGCAAUUUGGAUCAUAUUUUUUCGGGGAUGCCUUGUUGUAUUUCAGAAAGUAUGAAUCAAAACUUGAUGGCUACAUACACAGAGGACGAAAUUGUUGAGGCGUUAAAAGAAACGAGUCCUACAAAAGCUUCAGGUUUAGAUGGUUUUUCGGUAUUAUUUUAUCAAAAGUAUUGGCAUAUUCAAAAGUAUUGGUAAAGAUACUAGCGCUUUAUGUUUGGAUAUUCUAAAUAAUGGAAAAUCUCUAGAAGAACUAAACAAAACUCACUUGGUUUUAAUUCCAAAAAUUGCAAAUCCUCUCAAUCUAAAAAACUUUCAUCCUAUUAGUCUUUGUAUGGUUAUAUAUAAGAUUAUUACCAAGACAGUUGCCAAUAGAAUACAAAAGGUUUUGGAUGUUUGUAUUGAUGAUUCUCAGAGCACUUUUGCGUUGGGCAGACUCAUAAUUGAUAUAAUUGAUAAUGUGCUGCUGGCAUAUGAGGUGCUUCAUUCUUUCAAGAAUAAAAGAUCAGGGCAAAAAGGUUUUAUGGCUCUAAAGUUAAAUAUGAGCAAGGCUUAUGAUCGCGUGGAAUGACCUUUCCUUAAAGGUAUGAUGUCAAAAAUGGGUUUCGCUUGUCCUUUUAUUGAUUUUUUCUCUACUGUAUUAGUAGAGUUCAGUAUUCGAUCUUACUAAAUAGAGAAGAAGGAAUAAGUUUUAAGCCAUCGAGAGGACUGCGACAAGAGGACCUUUUAAGCCCUUACUUAUUUCUGUUCUGUGGAGAAGGAUUAUCUUCGCUAAUGAAAUUAGCAAGUCAGGAAAAGAAAAUCUUAGGAGCAAAGGUUUGUAGAUCUUCCCCACCAAUCACCCACCUCAUGUUUGCAGAUGAUUGUAUACUGUUUGGUGAGGUUUCAGAAAGGGGGAUUAAUGUGCUUAAAAAUAUUCUAAGUGAAUAUGAAUCUUGCUCAAGACAAUAUGUGAAUUUUGAAAAAUCCACGACUUUUUUCAGUACAAAUGUGAAUGAUCAGGAUAAGAACUUGGCUUUCCAGGUACUCAAUGUUCGUUGUUCGACAGAUUUGAAGAAAUUCUUAAGAUUACCGAAUAUGGUGGGUCGAAGAAAGAAAAUGGCAUUCCAAGGUUUGAAAGAUAGACUGAAGCAGAAGAUAAACAACUGGAGUAUAAGACAUAUCUCACAAGGUGGAAAAGAGGUAUUUAUAAAAACUGUUUUGCAAGCAAUUCCUACAUACACGAUGUCUUGCUUUAUUUUGCCAAAAUAUUUUUCUAUGGAAAUAGAGAACAUGAUAGGGUCUUUUUGGUGGAAAAAAAGUCAUGGGAAGAGAGGCAUGAAUUGGUGUGAUUGGAGGUCUUUAUGUGCGCUUAAAGAAGAUCGUGGUAUAGGAUUUCAUAAUUUGUCUUUUUUUAAUGUUGCAUUAUUGGCCAAAUAGGGUUAGCUUUUGUUACAUAAUCCUAAUUCUUUACUAGCGCGAACUUUGAAAGCCAAAUAUUUUAAAGACUCCGAUUUUUUAAAUUUCAGAUUAAGAAAUUUACCUUCUUUUACCUGGCAGAGCUUAUGGACUGCAAAAAGGGCUCUUUCUAAAGGGUUUGGGCUGGAGGAUUGGUGAUGAGAGGAAAGUCUCUAUCUGGAAAGAUGCUUGGGUUCCUGGAAAUGAUGAUUUCAAAGUUCAGAACAUGGAUGCUAAUUCGAGUCUCAGUACAGUUGCAGACUUGAUUGAUGCCAAUACAAGAAAAUGAAAAGCUGAGCUGAUUCGUAAUACCUUUACGGAGAAGGAUGCAGAGAGGAUUUUAUGCAUUCUUUUGUUCAUGAAUUUGCAUGAAGACCAUAUCAUCUGGUGUGGUGAGCCGACGGGGGAGUAUUCGGUCCGUAGAGGGCAUAAAUUUAUUUUACAAGAUGGAUAGAACCAAGAACAAUUAAAUUAUGAAAAAUUUUACAAGAAAUUGUGGAAUUUAGAUCUACCCUCAAACUAGAUGUUUUCCAGUAACUAUUUGCUUACUUUUAGUAAUCUACCCUUUAGAAGAAUGAUGGGUUCCACCACUUGUUGAAGAUGUCAGACUGGAGCAGAAACGAGGGAACACUUGUUUAGGGAGUGUUCUACAAUAAAGGAGACAUGGGAGAAGUUAAAUGUUACCUGGCAUAUAGCAGAUGCAAACACUGAAUUCAAAGAAUGGAUUAAAAACAUUUUUGAUUCAAAUUCUGUAGCUAAAUGCAAGUUGAUAGCAUGUGCAAUGUGAGCGAUAUGGACAUGAAGAAACAGAUUCAUUCAUGAAGGAGAGCUGAAAUCGGGUUCUCAAAUAGCAGAUUUCGUGAUCAACUACCUUAAGGAACUUGAUGGGUUGAACACACACCUACCAGUGAGAAGGAUACAUACGGAGAGAUGGGUAGCUCCGAAUGGGUUGAUGGUAAAAAUCAACUUCGAUGCUGCAUUUAACAGGCAAAAGAAUGAGUCUUGCUCCGGGUUAGUGGUUCAAAACGAAAGAGUAGAAGUUAUUUGUUCAAGAACAGUCAUGCACGAGAACAUAACGUCUGUUUUUGCAGCAGAAGCGAUGGCGUGUCUUCAGGCACUCAAUCUAGGGUUAAAUCUCGGGCUGAGGGAGGCUGAGAUGGAAGGAGAUUCUCGUUCGGUGAUCCGUAAACUGCAAGCUGAGGAAGAAGAAAGAUCUGAUAUUGAAGCUUAUAUUAAAGAUUCUAAGCAACUAAGUUUAGGUUUUGGGUCUUGUGUCUUUCGAUUUACCCAUAGAGAAUCUAACAUGGUUGCCCAUAUCAUAGCUACAGAAUGAAUCAAAAAGAGGGAGACAACUUAUCUGAUGCAUACGGAGCGGUGGAUGCUGAUCGAAGAUGGACGGAAGCCAUGAAGGAGUGAAGAGACAGGAGUGUUGAAGGAGAGAAUAAAGAUGGACUUGACUGGACAGACAGAUACAAGUAUUGAGAGAUGCAUUGAAGAGGGUUAUUGUUUCUGA